GUGGGGAAUCUUGCGCAAUGGGCGAAAGCCUGACGCAGCCAUGCCGCGUGAAUGAUGAAGGUCUUAGGAUUGUAAAAUUCUUUCACCGGGGACGAUAAUGACGGUACCCGGAGAAGAAGCUCCGGCUAACUUCGUGCCAGCAGCCGCGGUAAUACGAAGGGGGCUAGCGUUGCUCGGAAUUACUGGGCGUAAAGGGCGCGUAGGCGGACAGCUUAGUCAGAGGUGAGAGCCCAGGGCUCAACCUUGGAAUUGCCUUUGAUACUGGCUGUCUUGAGUUUGUGAGAGGUGAGUGGAACUCCGAGUGUAGAGGUGAAAUUCGUAGAUAUUCGGAAGAACACCAGUGGCGAAGGCGACUCACUGGCCCAAUACUGACGCUGAGGCGCGAAAGCGUGGGGAGCAAACAGGAUUAGAUACCCGAGUAGUCC
rnacentral:rRNA from 1 species